CCUACGGGGUGCAGCAGUGGGGAAUAUUGCACAAUGGGGGAAACCCUGAUGCAGCGACGCCGCGUGAGUGAAGAAGUAAUUCGUUACGUAAAGCUCUAUCAGCAGGGAAGAAACACUGACCUUACGGUCAGCAGACGGUACCUGAGUAAGAAGCCCCGGCUAACUACGUGCCAGCAGCCGCGGUAAUACGUAGGGGGCAAGCGUUAUCCGGAUUUACUGGGUGUAAAGGGGGCGGAGACGGGGCGCCAAGUCUGGAGUGAAAUGCCGCAGCUUAACUGCGGAACUGCUGUGGAAACUGGCGAACUAGAGUGGGGGAGGGGUAAGCGGAAUGCGUGGUGUAGCGGUGAAAUGCAUAGAUAUUAGGAAGAACGCCGGUGGCGAAGGCGGCAUACUGGACCGUAACUGACGUUGAGGCUCGAAAGCGUGGGGAGCGAACAGGAUUAGAUACCCGAGUAGUC
rnacentral:rRNA from 1 species